rnacentral:rRNA from 1 species
UACGGGGGGAGCAAGCGUUGUUCGGAUUUACUGGGUGUAAAGGGUUCGUAGGCGGUGUGGCAAGUUGGGAGUGAAAUCUCUGGGCUCAACCCAGAGGCUGCUUCCAAAACUGCUGUGCUCGAGUGUGGGAGAGGCGCGUGGAAUUGCAGGUGUAGCGGUGAAAUGCGUAGAUAUCUGCAGGAACACCGGUGGCGAAAGCGGCGCGCUGGACCACAACUGACGCUGAGGCACGAAAGCUAGGGGAGCAAACAGG